rnacentral:rRNA from 1 species
UACUUAGGAAUCUACCUAGUAGUGGGGGAUAGCUCGGGGAAACUCGAAUUAAUACCGCAUACGUCCUACGGGAGAAAGCAGGGGAUCNNNNNNCCUUGCGCUAUUAGAUGAGCCUAAGUCGGAUUAGCUAGAUGGUGGGGUAAAGGCCUACCAUGGCGACGAUCUGUAGCUGGUCUGAGAGGAUGAUCAGCCACACCGGGACUGAGACACGGCCCGGACUCCUACGGGAGGCAGCAGUGGGGAAUAUUGGACAAUGGGGGGAACCCUGAUCCAGCCAUGCCGCGUGUGUGAAGAAGGCCUUUUGGUUGUAAAGCACUUUAAGCAGUGAAGAAGACUCUUCGGUUAAUACCCGGGGACGAUGACAUUAGCUGCAGAAUAAGCACCGGCUAACUCUGUGCCAGCAGCCGCGGUAAUACAGAGGGUGCAAGCGUUAAUCGGAAUUACUGNNCGUAAAGCGAGCGUAGGUGGCUUGAUAAGUCANAUGUGAAAUCCCCGGGCUUANCCUGGGGAACUGCAUCUGAAACUGUUAGGCUAGAGU